rnacentral:rRNA from 1 species
GACGAAGGGGGCUAGCGUUGUUCGGAAUCAUUGGGCGUAAAGGGCGUGUAGGCGGUUUGUUAAGUCAUGUGUGAAAUCCCUCGGCUCAACCGGGGAACGACGCAUGAAGCUGGCAAGCUAGAGUACCAAAGAGGGGGGUGGAAUUCCCGGUGUAGCGGUGAAAUGCGUAGAUAUCGGGAGGAACAUCAGUGGCGAAGGCGGCCAUCUGGGACAACACUGACGCUGAGGCGCGAAAGCCAGGGGAGCGAACGGG